UGGGAAUAUUGGGCAAUGGGCGAAAGCCUGACCCAGCAACGCCGCGUGAAGGAAGAAGGUCUUCGGAUUGUAAACUUCUUUUAUCAGGGACGAAGGAAGUGACGGUACCUGAUGAAUAAGCCACGGCUAACUACGUGCCAGCAGCCGCGGUAAUACGUAGGGAGCGAGCGUUAUCCGGAAUUAUUGGGCGUAAAGGGUGCGUAGAUGGCAAUAUAAGUCUUAUGUAAAAAUGCUGGGCUCAACCCAGUAGGGCAUAAGAUACUGUAUAGCUCGAGUAUUGGAGAGGCAAGUGGAACUCCAUGUGUAGCGGUAAAAUGCGUAAAUAUAUGGAAGAACACCAGUGGCGAAGGCGGCUUGCUAGCCAGAUACUGACAUUGAGGCACGAAAGCGUGGGGAGCAAACAGGAUUAGAUACCCUGGUAGU
rnacentral:rRNA from 1 species